AGUGUCCAGGGAUGGGAAACGAACCCACAAUGUUCCGCUUACCGGGCAGAUGCCAUGUCCACUAGGCUAUAAACAA
rnacentral:tRNA from 1 species